UGGGGAAUAUUGCACAAUGGGCGAAAGCCUGAUGCAGCAACGCCGCGUGAGUGAUGAAGGUCUUCGGAUUGUAAAGCUCUGUCUUUUGGGACGAUAAUGACGGUACCAAAGGAGGAAGCCACGGCUAACUACAUGCCAGCAGCCGCGGUAAUACGUAGGUGGCGAGCGUUGUCCGGAUUUACUGGGCGUAAAGGGUGCGUAGGCGGAUGUUUAAGUGAGAUGUGAAAUACCCGGGCUUAACUUGGGUGCUGCAUUUCAAACUGGAUAUCUAGAGUGCAGGAGAGGAGAAUGGAAUUCCUAGUGUAGCGGUGAAAUGCGUAGAGAUUAGGAAGAACACCAGUGGCGAAGGCGAUUCUCUGGACUGUAACUGACGCUGAGGCACGAAAGCGUGGGUAGCAAACAGGAUUAGAUACCCUGGUAGUCCACGCCGUAAACGAUGAGUACUAGGUGUAGGAGGUAUCGACCCCUUCUGUGCCGCAGUAAACACAUUAAGUACUCCGCCUGGGAAGUACGAUCGCAAGAUUAAAAC
rnacentral:rRNA from 1 species